rnacentral:rRNA from 1 species
GUAGGGUGCAAGCGUUAAUCGGAAUUACUGGGCGUAAAGCGUGCGCAGGCGGUUACGUAAGACAGUUGUGAAAUCCCCGGGCUCAACCUGGGAACUGCAUCUGUGACUGCAUAGCUAGAGUACGGUAGAGGGGGAUGGAAUUCCGCGUGUAGCAGUGAAAUGCGUAGAUAUGCGGAGGAACACCGAUGGCGAAGGCAAUCCCCUGGACCUGUACUGACGCUCAUGCACGAAAGCGUGGGGGGAGCAAACAGGAUUAGAUACCCUGGUAGUCCACGCCCCUAAACCGAUGUCAACUGGUUGUUGGGUCUUCACUGACUCAGUAACGAAGCUAACGCGUGAAGUUGACCCGCCUGGGGAGUACGGCCGCAAGGUUG